rnacentral:rRNA from 1 species
CCAAUAGCGUAUAUUAAAGUUGUUGCAGUUAAAAAGCUCGUAGUUGAAUUUCGAGAUCAAUUUGUUGGUCGUGCCUCGGUACGAACUGGCAAUUUUGAUUUCUCCCUUCUGAAGAACCAUGAUGUCAUUAAUUUGGUGUCAUGGGGAAUCAGGACCGUUACUUUGAAAAAAUUAGAGUGUUUAAAGCAGGCUCGCGCUUGAAUACAUUAG